AUCCCAGCGCGCGAGCUCCUCCCCAAUCCCCUUCGCACCCGUGCCGCCGCCACCACCCCUCUCUCCUCCGGCCUGCCUCCUCCCUAGUGCUCAGCGGGAGGACGAGAUGGUGCUAUGGGUGCUCAGCAAGAGGAGCACAAGGCUCUCCUUCCCGUCCGUGCAUCCUUCCCCUCGUCUCCUACCCCUGGCCGCCAAUUGCCGCUCGCCUCCUUCCCCUCGUCUCCUACCCCUCCUCAUGCCGCCUCUCCUCCUCUAGCUCGCCGCCCUUGCGCUGCCUCUCCUCCUCUGCACCCAUCUCCAACCAAAGGUUGCGCCGCUGCAUCUUCUCGCCGGCCCAGCAGGGGCGAGCAACGACCGCGGAGUCGUCUUCCGGCAACGCGUCCAUACCGGAGCAGCCGCCACAGAGGUCCCCUCCGCCCUCUUCUUCACGCACAACAGCCAGUGCAGCUCAGCUUAGCCUCCUCUGGCUCGUCCUCAUCACCGUCAGCAGCGGGCUCAGCUCCAUCCCCUCCACCCCACAAUUUUUGCUGCACAUAGGAGAAGGAGGCGGCUGGGAGAUGGCUCAAGAGAACAAGAUCGAUGCCGUCGUCCUUAGUGUGGUGGAGCGUGGCGCCCCCAUUGUCCUCGUCCAUCCCAGGUUCGAGUUGAUGGCCGUCUUUCCAUGGGAGAAAAUGGAUAAAUCAAGCCCAGGUCGCACGGCAAGCAGAUUCCAUUCCGGAGAUGGAGUUGCUGAUGACAGAUCGUAUAACAGAAUCCUUGCAGUCUUUCAACAGCGAAAAAUAUGUGCAUGUAAUUGAGUAGUGGGAUCUGCCCCAUGUAUAUGUGGUUUGUUGGCCUAAAUUUUAGUUGUGUGUCCUCAACUUCUUUGCAAAAUUGUAUGGAGGAAGAUUCAAUAUUCAUAGGAGCUAUAAGUGUUCUAUUUUGUUUCCUGGACAAAUGGUUGGAUGUCAGGCGUCACUUCAUCAUGGCAUAUGGUCAUUAGGGAAGGCAUGGAGGUCAGUGGGUUUCCUGCUGUGCCGUUUCUGCUGGAGAGGAUUGACGAGGAGAUGUCGGGGACGAUGGCAACGAAGUUGUACUUCGUCUCCAGGUCAAGGGAGAGGACCUGAAGAGGAAGUUUUUGCACUGCAAUUCAAAUGGAUCUUGUUUCGGUUAGUAUUUGGAUUAUCAUUAUCAUUUACAACUGGAAAUAUGUUUUUAUUUCACACAUUAGUUGGGCAUGUAUGCUGAAGAUUUUCUCCUUUUGUUCAUAGAUGGUUCCGAAAAGUACGCAUUGCAUGACUCGCAGAUUACAUGAUUAGACAUAAACUGAAUUUAUUAUACUUGUCCUGAGCUCCUACCAUUUGACCAAUUGCCUGCCUGCUUCCUUUACUCAUAUUUUGGUUUUCCAAGUGUAUCCUGAUGAGUCUUUUUUUUUGUCUCAAAUCGCUAUUUAGUAUUUUUGGUUGGUAGUUGUUAUUUUAGUGCCAUGCAAGAUGAUUGUGAUUUCUUAACUCUAAAUGUAUGCUUGUCCUCUGAUUAGCAGAUCAUGUUGUUUCAUAUUUUACUUCACAUACCUUAUACAACUCAAGAUUAAAUUUAUGAGCUCACUAAAAAAUUACAAAAUGGCAACAAUUAAAUUUAUUAUGGAUAUUCCAGUAUUGACCGUCAUACUAAGUGUAUCCCCAUUGACUAUUGGAACAAAUGUGCUAAGCCUUAACAGAUUGAUACCUGAAAGAAGAAUGAGGUUUACACCAUCUAGCUUACACCUACAAGAAUCACCAUAUCCUGGAGGCAUUUAAUAUGAGAUAUCGUAACUACAUCACGGAUUCAAAUAUCAAAUAUUUAUCAAGUAGCAGCACAACUAUUUGUUUCCUGAUAUUAUCUUCUUUGGUAUAUCAUACAGUGUGCGUCAAACAUACACAUUCUCUGAAUAUGAUGGAAUUUGAAUAGCAGAUACAAGGAACCUACACAGCAUAUCAUAUAAACAAUGACUAUAACAUGCCUGUUUCUCUGUUAGAUGGUUGGUGCUUUUAUUUUGAGGUGCUUGAAUGAUCCAAGGACCAAUCAGUGCAUUUUGGUGUUUUAUGGUCUACUCGUGAUCUCUAUGUAGCUGAUUGAUGUAUAUAUUUGAUCCAACUAUCCAAGGCUCCUCAUGGUUUAUAUUUAUCAUGUGUUUCAUGUAGGUUUGUCAUGGUGCAGAUUCAGAUCAAUCUGCACAUUCUCAUGGUCUACUCAUGAUCUCUAUUUAAUUGUUUGAUGUAUAUUUGAUUGAAAGCUUGUCAUGGUUUUUAUUUUGAGGUGCUUGCAGGUGCAGAUUGAGCUGAACAAGAAGUAACUAUUCAUGGAUGAAGGGUGGGAAUGAUAAGAUGGGCCAAAGCAAGAUGGGAUGAGGAAUUUCUGAUUUUGGAGAGAGAGAGGCAUGUGACUUCCUGAUGUAUGGCCCAUUUUCAUGCAGUGUUGUUCCUCGGUGAGAUGAUGCCUUAAGAAGGAUAGCUAAACAUGUCAACUGAAGGUGUAAAUUUUCCUAGGAAGAAACAGAGGGAAAGUUUGAAGGCAUUUUAUCGAGGAAAAUCCGCAUGCUCCAAUGCACAAUCAAGGUUUUUAAUUAAUUGUGUUCGCUUCAUCUGCUCCUAUGUGAGAGUUCCUCUCUCUGUUUCUAAUUGAUCUCCUUACAUCCUAUUUUUUAGAAUUUUUCUUCCUCAAACAGAACUAAUAGAUGACUUCUCUGUUCAGCAUUACUAUUGUUUACAUUUAUGUUAUUUCACUUUGAUAGCUAUUAGCAUUGUGGGUUACCACCUGGUGGACCUCAGUAUUUUAUUUCAGAUUGCAUUGUUCUAGAUCUCCUGCUUAUUUCUUUUUAGUUUGUAUGUUUCAUUACAAUAGGAUUUUUAGAGGAAGUUCGAUUGUUUGUUGGAAAAAAUACGUGUUCUGCCAAUGGUAUUACUGAUGGUUUAAAAUACAUCGUUCAUAGUUAUGGUUCAAGAAUUAUUUUAUGUUACCUCUAAAAAAAUAAAGAGAGCGCAGGCCUUGGUAUACAAGUUCAGUUCGACCAUUCAAAAUCACCACCUGAUUUGAGCUUUUUCAGUAAUAAUUCAUCUCCGUGUUAUUUCCCCAGCAAUGUAUAGUCCUUACACGUUUAUUUCUCCUGCAGCCCCAAGCACUUCCCUAUUUCAUGUAUAUAUUGAUAUCUUUUCAGUUCGUGCACUUUCAGGUUUUAACCAGGGUAUACAUUCACCGAAAUAGCUUUUAAAUUUUUAUUUUGUGUGUACUACGUAGGUUCCAGUACAGUUUUUUGCUAGAUUUCCAUAUUGUAUGGUAUGUGAGCUUAAUCCAUUAUCCAAACUAUUUUUUCUGUUUGUCUAAAUAACCAAGAGAUAUUUUACAUCUCAACUUGUAGGAGAUCAGAUGUUUUCUGAUUUGUGUUGACAAUGAGCUUAAACUGAUUGGUAUCUUCACCAUAUAGGUUUCUCAGAAAUGUGAGGAUUCAAUGUGUUGAAGGAAAAAUGGAUAUUCUUGAAUAUGCUAAAAUGGUGGCAAGAUUUGUUGUUGAUGCCAUUGCAAAGGCUGAUUGAAGGUGUGGCGUAGGUUCCUAGACUGACGGUGAUGAUCCAGAAUAUCCAGCGGAUCUGUGAACUGUGAGGCUACCAUGGGCAUCGGCAAGGUGGAGCUUCUCUCAUGUCUCCUGGUGCCCGCCGAUUGUUUUUCUUUUCUAGCGGCGGGGCUUCUCUUCUUCUGCUUUUGAUUGGUGUUCCUGCAGCCACCGCCUCACCAGUUCUCUGGCGCUCAACAGAGCAGCUGCCAACAACAUAGGUCUCAGCAGCUCAGUGAUCUCUGUACAAGGAGAGUGAACAAAUCACACAGAGAAUAUAGAAGAAACUCGGCAUCAAUUCAUGUAGAUAUGCAGAAUUAGAGAGUGAGAUAGGUACAAGUAAAGAAAGAAACAUUAAUUCCGAUGUUAUUAGAGAGGUAGCACAUCAACGGGUGGACCUUUUUUGAGCAGCAACUGGACGGGCAGGGUUGCAGCUACUGUCCUCAAGAAUGGCGUGGUGGCACAUCCAGCUCGAGUUUUGGAGAUUCAUUUCUGCAGGCGGGUAAUCCUCAUCUUCUGGUGCUUCGUGGCUCGACCGAGCAUGAGCAAAGGCAGAUGGGCAUCGGCGGGACAUGCCGGUGGUGAAGAAUCGGCGGUGCAUGCCAUGAAGAGCAUUGCAGUGUGCUCCCCUGCAUCGAUUGAUACUCAUGUGGCUGGAAUGAGGAGAGGUGGUGGCAGUAGUGUCACGGGAGAGAAA